UACGAAGGGGGCGAGCGUUGUUCGGAAUCACUGGGCGUAAAGAGUGCGUAGGCGGUUAUGAAAGUUAGAAGUGAAAGCCCAGGGCUCAACCUUGGAAUUGCUUUUAAAACUACAUAACUCGAAUUCGGGAGAGGAUAGCGGAAUUGUCAGUGUAGCAGUGAAAUGCGUAGAUAUUGACAGGAACACCGGUGGCGUAAGCGGCUAUCUGGACCGACAUUGACGCUGGGGCACGAAAGCGUGGGGAUCAAACAGG
rnacentral:rRNA from 1 species